CUUUCUUUACGCCGACCUCAGAGCAGGUG
rnacentral:rRNA from 1 species